AGUGAACGCUGGCGGUAGGCCUAACACAUGCAAGUCGAACGGCAGCACAGUAAGAGCUUGCUCUUACGGGUGGCGAGUGGCGGACGGGUGAGGAAUACAUCGGAAUCUACUUUUUCGUGGGGGAUAACGUAGGGAAACUUACGCUAAUACCGCGUACGACCUACGGGUGAAAGCAGGGGAUCUUCGGACCUUGCGCGAUUGAAUGAGCCGAUGUCGGAUUAGCUAGUUGGCGGGGUAAAGGCCCACCAAGGCGACGAUCCGUAGCUGGUCUGAGAGGAUGAUCAGCCACACUGGAACUGAGACACGGUCCAGCCUCCUACGGGAGGCAGAAGUGGGGAAUAUUGGACAAUGGGCGCAAGCCUGAUCCAGCCAUACCGCGUGGGUGAAGAAGGCCUUCGGGUUGUAAAGCCCUUUUGUUGGGAAAGAAAAGCAGCAGGUUAAUACCCCGCUGUUCUGACGGUACCCAAAGAAUAAGCACCGGCUAACUUCGUG
rnacentral:rRNA from 1 species